rnacentral:rRNA from 1 species
AAGUGAAUAGUGAAAUCGUGCGGCUCAACCGCAUACACAUUAUUUAAACUGCUUAGCUUGAAGAUGAGAGAGGUCACUGGAAUUUCCUGUGUAGGAGUGAAAUCCGUAGAUAUAGGAAGGAACACCGAUGGCGUAGGCAGGUGACUGGCUCAUUCUUGACACUAAGGCACGAAAGCGUGGGGAGCGAACAGGAUUAGAUACCCUGGUAGUCCACGCCGUAAACUAUGGAUGCUA